CAAAGUUACUUCUUCAAGCCUUCAAUGUGUUGGACAACCUGGGACGCCGUCUAGCCGAGCUUGAAGCAGAGGUCGCCUUCUUCGGCAUUUGCUUGAGGAAACGCUACGUCGAUCCGGUCCGGUUCAAGCAUCUUUCAUCUACGGGGUUUGGUUAGAGCGCCAAAAAGAAGAUAAUCAAGGUCUACAGAGAAGGAACAAGUAGAAGAAUAGAAAACCUCCGCAAGGCCUGUGAUCGCAUCUGGACACUCCUCAGAGGCAAGGAUUACAGGCACCACCCGGACUAUCUACGCUGGAACUCGGGAAAAAAGGAACUCUUCGAGCGGCUGUGGGCGACAUCUACCGGCUUCCCCCUGCAGCUGUCGGUGGCCGUGGCUGUGGAACAUUAACGGUCCGUCCGCAUAUCAAGGAUCAAGUGCGUGACCCGGGAGAAGGAAGAGAGAGAGGACGACUUUCAGGGCAGCGGGAAAACAAAGCGCGGCUAAUCACGCCCGUCACGCAGUCGGAGAUGUUUCCCGGAGACUGUUUUACUCGCUCGGGCAGCUUGCGUGGCACCGGAUGCCGAACCAGUGAAGCGGGCGUUGACGAGCUUCCACAAGGGCAAAUGCUUGGGAGAAUAACCUGCCCUACCAUGGUCACGAUAAAGUGAAGUAAACGUAAUAAGAGAAAAAAAAAAAUAAAGAUUGCUUAUGGCGGCAUCCAUGCACAGCUGCUGCAAAGCUUCCUUAUUGGAUGCUAACCGCGCGACUGACCACUCGUUGCCAUUUAUAAUAUGUCCAGAUGAUGCUUGAUGAUUUCUCAAUAUUUACUGCACGUGCGCUUAAUAAG